GGAUGUGAGGGCGAUCUGGCUGCGACAUCUGUCACCCCAUUGAUCGCCAGGGUUGAUUCGGCUGAUCUGGCUGGCUAGGCAGGUGUCCCCUUCCUCCCUCACCGCUCCAUGUGCGUCCCUCCCGAAGCUGCGCGCUCGGUCGAAGAGGACGACCUUCCCCGAUAGAGGAGAGGACCGUUCUUCGGUCAAGGGUAUAGGAGUAGCUGCGCUCCCCUGCUAGAACCUCCAAACAAGCUCUCAAGGUCCAUUUGUAGGAGAACGUAGGGUAGUCAAGCUUCCAAGACUCCAGACACAUCCAAAUGAGGCGCUGCACGUGGCAGUCUGCCUUUCUUU
ensembl:misc_RNA 7SK 7SK RNA